rnacentral:rRNA from 1 species
AUGGUCGCUGUGAAGAAGUUGUCCAUAACACUUGAUAUGCAUGAGAAUAAAUUCCACAGAGAGGUUGAGUGCCUAAUGAAGGCCAAGCACAAGAACAUAGUUCGUUUUUUGGGAUACUGUUCUGACACGCAAGGGAUGGUGGGGGACUAUGACGGGAAAUUUGUCAUGGCGGAUGUACGAAACUGGGUGCUAUGUUUUGAGUACAUACCUAACGGAAGUCUCGAUAAGUAUAUUACCGAUGUGUCUUGUGGACUUAAAUGGAGAGAUCGUUAUCAUAUUAUCAAGGGAACCUGUGAGGGCUUACUUCAUCUUCAUGAGAAGCGUAUUCUUCAUUUAGAUCUCAAGCCCGGAAAUAUAUUGUUAGCUGAUCACAUGGUACCGAAAAUUGCUGAUUUUGGACUCUCAAGGUGCCUCGAUGAAGACCAAACCCGAGCUUUUACUUCACAUCUAUGUGGAUCUCAGGGAUACUUAGCACCAGAAUUCUAUAGAGGACAAUUCACAUUUGCGUCAGACAUAUAUAGUCUUGGCAUUAUAAUUGUGGAGAUACUAACAGGAGAGAAGGGGUAUCCAGAAGAGGAGAAUGUAGUUGCAAAUUGGAUGAAUCAGUUGGAGGCAUCAGAUCAGUGGCAUACACAGUUGGAGCAAGUAAGAGUAUGCACUAAGAUAGGGAUACAGUGCAUGGACUUGAACCCAAAGAAGAGACCAGUUGCACGUCAUAUACUUGAUAGGCUAGAUAAAACAAAAAUUACCAUCGAAACUGGCAUAAGUGGUUCAUCAGUUGAGCAGCAGGUUAGUUUCCUAAAGGAACAAUAUUGCCAAGAGAAAAAUUCAAAGCGUUCAUAUCAGUACCUUGGAAAGGAAAUCAAGGAACACGCUGAAACAGAAGGACUUGCAAAAUAUGUAGAGAUACCUAGAGAAGAUCAUUGGCAGCAAGGGCAGCAAGAAGCUUCGAGUGAUCAAUGGCCAUUAAGGGGAGUGCAAGAUGUAAAGAAAAAUGUAAGCCCACAAGGUGCAAGUAUUUCUAGCUCCAACAAUGGUUUGCUCUAUAAGUUGAACAAUUUGGACAUCUUUGACAGAAAAGCACACAGGAAUCACGUGCGGUAUGGUGGGCCUACAUUGGAGAAUGUAAAUUUUGUGAAACUUUUCAAAAAAAAGGAGCUCGGUCCAAUUUUAAAGAAUAAGAAUCUUAUUAGAAGAGAUAGCUUUGGAGUAGUUUACAUGGGCCUUGUUGAUAGUGUGCCAGUUACAAUAAGGAAGCUAUUUAGUGGUAGUGUGGUACAGAAUGAAGAUUUUGCAAAUGAAGUCAUCAUCCAGUCUCAAGUCAUUCACGGAAAUAUGGUUAGGCUCAUAGGCUGUUGCCUUGAAUUCGAAGUCCCGAUGCUAGUCCAUGAGUUUCACUCUAUAGCAAGCCUCCAUUACAUUCUUCACACCAACAUCAAGGUGCCUCUUAACCUUGGCGUGCGAUUAAGUAUUGCUGCAACAAUGGCAGGUGCUCUAUCUUAUGUGCAUUCUGCACUUGUUAAGAAAAUAUUACACGGUAAUGUUAAACCAUCAAAUAUACUCUUGGAUAACAACUUUGUGCCAAAGAUCUCAGACACCGGCAUAUCAAGGUUGAUCGUGAGAGUCCAUGAACAUAGCGGAAUAUCCAUUGGUGACAUGGCUUAUAUGGAUCCGGUAUAUGUACGAACAGGCCUGCUGACCGAACAAAGUGAUGUCUACAGUUUUGGAGUUAUCAUCUUGGAGCUUGUUACUAGGAGAAAGGCCACACAUAUGGACAAAAACAGCUUAGUAAUUAAUUUCCUUGAGAACCACAAGCAGGGGAGGAAAUCGACCGAGUUGUUUGACAAGGAAAUCACAGUGACAGAAAAUUUGAAGCUUCUUGACACUCUGGUAGGAAUUGCUGCUGAAUGCCUUAAUUCUGAUGUGGACCUAAGACCAACAAUGGUAGAUGUCGCAAAUCGUCUAUCCAUGCUGAAUCGAUCCUGUAAUUUGAGUUGA